rnacentral:snRNA from 1 species
AUUGCUUCUUGGCCUUUUGACUAGGAUCAAGUGUAGUAUCCGUUCUUAUCAGGUGAAUAUCUAAUACAAUUUUUUUUUUUCUUUAGCUCUU